rnacentral:rRNA from 1 species
UACGUAGGGUGCGAGCGUUGUCCGGAAUUAUUGGGCGUAAAGAGCUCGUAGGCGGUUUGUCGCGUCGGCCGUGAAAACUUGGGGCUUAACCCCAAGCCUGCGGUCGAUACGGGCAGACUUGAGUUCGGCAGGGGAGACUGGAAUUCCUGGUGUAGCGGUGAAAUGCGCAGAUAUCAGGAGGAACACCGGUGGCGAAGGCGGUUCUCUGGGCCUUACCUGACGCUGAGGAGCGAAAGCGUGGGGAGCGAACAGG